rnacentral:piRNA from 1 species
GGCGCAGAUGUGGAAAGAGGCCUGGG